UGAGACCAACACAGAGGUUUGCUUUUGUGAUUAUGAGUUUAAAGUAACAGCAGAAAACCCAAGAAGAUAUGUCAGAGAUCGAAUGUAGACUUUUUUCUUUUUUUUUAAUUUGUGUUAGACAUUAUCAAGAAUUAAAAUACAGAAGAGACGGAGAACUAGAAGCUAUCAAGAAAAUGAUAUCAAGACAGAGGAGAAUUUCUUAAGGUUGUGCCAAAGAAACAGUUGGAGAGAGAAGGGAAGGAAAAUCAGAAGAUGGUAUUAUGGGCACCAACAGAAUAUUAAAAGAAAUAGUAUUUCUGAUGGUACUAAAACAGCUGACAGGUCCAGAUGGAUGAAACUGAACCAGUUCUGUGGUUUGGUGAAAAGGAAUCCAUGCAGAUUUCAACAACAACAAGAGCUUUUGAUGAGUUUGAACUGGAAAUUGGAAAAUGCCUAAGAUGGAACCAGAAAAUAAAGUCCUCAGGAGAAGCAACUAGAGCAGAUUUACAGGUUCACAGAUAUGCCUAAGAGAACCACAUGGACCCCCUCUCAUGAUGAUUUAUCCAGACUAUAUUCUUACUCACAUUUGAUGAAAAUAAUGGCUGGUGAGAAUGGCUGCAGUCUUCAGGCUGUGGAGAACCUGCUGUGAAGGGAAUUGCCUGAACAUCCAUUUGAAGACUGAAGAAAGGAGAGGAGUCAUCUUUCUGGUUUUCUUUAUCCGAAUAAUGCUCUGAUUUUGCUACAGAGACUUUUCUAUAUACAGAUCUGGCUGACAUGGUGAGAGGUUUAUCUCCUUUUUUCCUCCUUCUGUCUAUCCAUGGUGGAAUGCAGCAACUGUUGCUUGUUUGAUGAGCAAACAGAAAUUGGGAACUAUUCCUUUCUCCGCUUCCCCGCAGCGUUAUUAUUUAAACAGUGUUUAACCGACAGCAUUUUUAAAUAUUGUAAAACUAUGGAGAACUACAAGAUUAACAAAACUAUUACAUUAUCCAGCUCUCAUACACCAUAUAUUACAAAAUAAAUGAUCAAGGAAAAUGAUACAUCUGUUCUCUGUUGCUGUGUUCCAGAGAUGAAUUUCCAAAUCUUCCCUCUGUAAAGUUUAGUCCUCGGCCUUCAAAAGCAGAUGAGAGGAGGUUGUGGCCUCUCAAGAAAAUCCAUCCAGAGGUGAUGAGGGGACAUUAGAACACGGAUGAUGGCAAUGUUUUACCCCAGAGAUAUUAUACUAUGUAGUAGUCAAAAGACCCUUUAUCAAUCAUAUUUGUCAGAAAAGGGUCAGUGAUAGAAUGAGCCAUCUGCAGUAACUUUGUGCUAUUUCAGACAAAGACAAAAUUUAGCCCAAAAACCUCUCUGAUGAAACAAUAUUUGCUAUAAGCUUUUAGGAGUGAGCCCUUUUUGCCAGAAAACAUCGUGAGAAGGAAAUGUUGAAGUCGAGGGACUCAACAUUCCAAUUCAUGUGGUGGUCUUUUUUCCUGAGUAAACUCAGCUGUGGGAAGAAUUCAUGCCUUCCUUACAGAAAAUCGUCCCAUUCCUGAUGGUGAUCAUCCUGCACAUGGAAUCUUUCAGUGCAGAAUUUCUUCAGGCUUCCAACUUAAAUAAUGUAGAAAAUGUCAGGUAAGUGAAGAGAUGAAAGUGAACACAUCUUGAUUAAGGUGUUAAUUAGUUUGAAGGAAAAAUUACUAGUAGCAUGCUGACAGCAUGUGGGUGGUUUCAAUGAUAGCUGGCAGCCUCUCUGGGCAUAGCCUUAAUUUUCCUUUCUAAAAGAUGGCUCCAAGUAUGCAUUUUUGGAAGACUAUGGAUUUGUGAAUAUUUUUUCUGUGAUUCCUAGAGAAAUUAGUUUAAGGAAAUGUAUUAAGAAGAAAAUUCAUAGUUAUAGUACUUAAAUUCCUUCCUUUCUGUAAAAAAAUCUUCAUAAUUGGUGCUAUUAUAUUAACAAGCCUGUGAGAUUAUUUAAGAGCAUCUCCUAUGUAUUUCAUUAAUCACUUAGCAGAGGAAUAAAAUCUUGCAAACCGUCAAUCUCCAGAUUUUGAAAAUGCAGCUCUUCUGCAUAUGAUUCUUGCACUCCACUCAUUAAUGAAAUAUCAGAGUGCCUUCUACUCUUAUUAAAUGACAAGAUUAACAUGUAUCAUCUUCAUUUUUUCUUUUUUCUUUUUUUUUUUUUUUUUUUAAAUUCCCUUAGCUUUAAUAUUUCUCUGGUUUAAUUGAGAUCAAUGGGAAUAGUUGCAGAAUGAGGUGCAAUUCAAUGUGAUGUGAGAAUUGAGGUUGCUAUAAUAAGGGAUAAGAAGGAUAAAAUGAGAAGAACAAGUGACUUCUUUGCCCAUCUGUGCACUAGAGAGCAAAAAGCUGGAUUCUGUAUUCCUCUCACUUAUGUCUCUUCUGCAGCCACUAAUCAAACUAUAAAAGUGAACACAAUGAGAGCAAGUUGGAUCUGAUGGCAAUAAUGCAGAAUGCAGUAUGGGAUACUUACCCCGCAGCCUGGCUGCUGUUCAACACAUCAUUUAGCCAUAGCCUGUGGAGUGGGAGACAGGAAAGAACUCUACGUUUUUCAUGUACUAAGAAAAAAAGAACAAAGACCAUGAUGUUAUACCGUUUAGGAUUUCCAACAUUCCUGGAGUGGAGGUCUGUCCUCUAUAAAAGCACUGACUGGGACAGUAUUCAACCACAUACUUAGACUUUUGAGCCGCGGACAUAUUUUUCUGUGUUUAGAACUGUCACUGGUUAAGUAAAGAAAAAUGGAUCAGCUGUUUUUAAGGUUUUGUACAAAUGGUGUUAGAGAAUAAGAAGAAAUGUUGUGAUUUAAAUAUAAAAAUAGAAGUGUAUUGGCAUAUAUUUAUAUAUGUAUGUAUAUUUUGCACGUGUAUGGCUUCAUAGAAAAUAUCAUAUACUUAUUCAGAGAUGAAAAGAGUGGAUCAAAAAAGGCACGGCAUGCUCCACAGCAUGGCAAGGAAUCUGAAGUAAGGCACAACCAAAGGCAAGCAGAGUGGAAUUUCAUCCUCAGUAUUGGACUAUCAAAUGAUUUCUUUAAAACUGCACCUGGUGUGUGUCAAGGUGCUUAAUGCUGGGGAGGCAAGGCAAAUUAUUUAUUUCUUCUCCCAGUAGUCACUGCGGUUCAAUAUGAAGCACGACCCUGGUGUCAGAAAGGUAAGUGAAAAUUGCUUUCAUUGAGGUCUCAGGCAGACACGUCAGCACAGGGCCAGGGCCAUGGCCGGGCCAGGGCAGGAGGAGCAGCUGUGUGGCUGCAGCCAGGGCUGUGCCCAGAGACCAGCACGCAGCCUGGCCAGCGACCAGGGAACCUCCGCCACACAAUGGAAUCUGCAGUACAUAAAAAGGGUGCCGCUUCUUGAUAUCUAAGACAACUGCUAAAAUAGUAUUUAAUACUGAGCUAUGUAUAGACUCUGGAAACCAUUUCAUUUGCAGAUCUCCAUCCUUCCUCUUGAGAAGGGAAUAUGCAUUUUCCCUGACUGAAUUCUCCCACACCAUGUGCAAAGCAAUACCUGUAUGUUCAGGGAUUUGUGUAAACAACUAGAAAAAGCAAGUGUGAAAGACUAAGAGAAUUCAUUGCCUUAUUUUCAAAGGCCUCAACUUCUUCUCAGCUAUCAUAUACUUUUCAAAUUGCAAUUGUCACAUUGUUUUUAAAUGCCAAAACAUUCUGUCAACAGUUUUAUUUCCAUUUAUUUUCUCUUUGGCUACGUUAUGUCCUGAAAUUUUAUCUCCGUCUUCAUGACCCUUUUUCUAUUCGUCUUAAAGUUAAUUAAAACGUGUCAAUAGAGAAGAUAUUCUUAAAAUAAUGGGGCUUCACAUAUGUUGUAUAAUCUCUCAGUUAUGUCUCAUCUGGUAGUCUUCACUGAGGCUAUAUCAUCUAGAAUGUAAAGAAAUCAAAGUAUCACCUGUUUUCAAGAACUGCUGAGCACCAGCCUGAGAGUAAUAAUCUUUGAUUCUGCUUAAAUUCCAUUGCUUUUGGGUAGUUUAACUGAUGCAACACUUUGCUUCCAUCACCUCAUUUGAAUAGUGUCUCAUACAUUUUAAUACAGUCAUCUGUGCUGUUUUGAAAAAACACUUAAAACAUUUCAAUGCUACCGAGACAUUUACAUACAGAACUGAGAAAUAAAGAGAAUAAAAAAUAUUAAUUAAUCUUGCUUCUCUAAGUCCUGCUGAUCAGUUGCUUCUGUUUAGACAAAUUAAACUCCUGUUGAACUUGGAUGCAUGUGAUUGCUGGCUGAACAUGUUGUAAGUGAUAGAAGAGAUGAAAAAAUAGAGAGGCAAGUGUGCCUUCUAGAUGAUUCAUGCUCACUCUUUCAACAGUUAAAAAUAGUAUCCUUUAACAGCCAUUUUCAGUAAUAAUAGCCCACCUGAGUGAGGUCUGUCAAAUCAACAUGUUGGUGUGUACCAAAGCAAGAUGCUGUAUUUACUGAUGAUCUGUGAAGAAUUAUAUUGAGUAUGAGGAUUAGCUUUGUUGCCUAGAAGUCUGUUUAAAGUUUUAAACUCAUGUUUUCUGAAUUUUUUAAAAAAAUUCAUGUCUUAAUCCAUCUACUUGAAAUUUGAAUAAAUGAGCUUAAA